GAUGAACGCUGGCGGCGUGCUUAACACAUGCAAGUCGAACGGUGAACACGGAGCUUGCUCUGUGGGAUCAGUGGCGAACGGGUGAGUAACACGUGAGCAACCUGCCCCUGACUCUGGGAUAAGCGCUGGAAACGGCGUCUAAUACUGGAUACGAGUAGCGACCGCAUGGUCAGUUACUGGAAAGAUUUUUUGGUUGGGGAUGGGCUCGGGGCCUAUCAGCUUGUUGGUGAGGUAAUGGCUCACCAAGGCGUCGACGGGUAGCCGGCCUGAGAGGGUGACCGGCCACACUGGGACUGAGACACGGCCCAGACUCCUACGGGAGGCAGCAGUGGGGAAUAUUGCACAAUGGGCGAAAGCCUGAUGCAGCAACGCCGCGUGAGGGAUGACGGCCUUCGGGUUGUAAACCUCUUUUAGCAGGGAAGAAGCGAAAGUGACGGUACCUGCAGAAAAAGCGCCGGCUAACUACGUGCCAGCCGCCGCGGUAA
rnacentral:rRNA from 1 species